GGUAGGGUGGCCGAAGGGAAGGCCAUGAGUUGUAGCCUCAUUUACGCGGGUUUGAAUCCUGUCACUACCA
rnacentral:tRNA from 1 species